UACGAAGGGGGCUAGCGUUGCUCGGAAUCACUGGGCGUAAAGCGCACGUAGGCGGAUUGCUAAGUCAGGGGUGAAAUCCUGGAGCUCAACUCCAGAACUGCCUUUGAUACUGGCGACCUUGAGUCCGGGAGAGGUGAGUGGAACUGCGAGUGUAGAGGUGAAAUUCGUAGAUAUUCGCAAGAACACCAGUGGCGAAGGCGGCUCACUGGCCCGGUACUGACGCUGAGGUGCGAAAGCGUGGGGAUCAAACAGG
rnacentral:rRNA from 1 species